rnacentral:tRNA from 1 species
GCGUUUAGCUCAGCUGGUUUAGAGCAUCUGCCUUACAAGCAGAGGGUCGGCGGUUCGAAUCCGUCAACGCCCA